rnacentral:misc_RNA from 1 species
AAAGUCGUAACAAGGUUUCCGUAGGUGAACCUGCGGAAGGAUCAUUACAAUUUGUAUGUCCUUCGUGACUACAUUCGGGGGCUCUGGAAAAUUGCCUGCAGUUGCCCAAGCCCCCGUUUCAACCCUUGUCUUUUGCGUACUUAUGUUUCCUUGGUAGGCUCGCCUGCCGAUAGGACAACCAAAACCUUUUUAAUUUUCAAUCAGCGUCUGAAUAAACUUAAUAAUUACAACUUUCAACAACGGAUCUCUUGGUUCUG